GUCUAUACAUGCAGUCGAGCGGACAGAAGGGAGCUUGCUCCCGGAUGUUAGCGGCGGACGGGUGAGUAACACGUGGGUAACCUGCCUGUAAGACUGGGAUAACUCCGGGAAACCGGAGCUAAUACCGGAUAGUUCCUUGAACCGCAUGGUUCAAGGAUGAAAGACGGUUUCGGCUGUCACUUACAGAUGGACCCGCGGCGCAUUAGCUAGUUGGUGAGGUAACGGCUCACCAAGGCGACGAUGCGUAGCCGACCUGAGAGGGUGAUCGGCCACACUGGGACUGAGACACGGCCCAGACUCCUACGGGAGGCAGCAGUAGGGAAUCUUCCGCAAUGGACGAAAGUCUGACGGAGCAACGCCGCGUGAGUGAUGAAGGUUUUCGGAUCGUAAAGCUCUGUUGUUAGGGAAGAACAAGUGCAAGAGUAACUGCUUGCACCUUGACGGUACCUAACCAGAAAGCCACGGCUAACUACGUGCCAGCAGCCGCGGUAAUACGUAGGUGGCAAGCGUUGUCCGGAAUUAUUGGGCGUAAAGGGCUCGCAGGCGGUUUCUUAAGUCUGAUGUGAAAGCCCCCGGCUCAACCGGGGAGGGUCAUUGGAAACUGGGAAACUUGAGUGCAGAAGAGGAGAGUGGAAUUCCACGUGUAGCGGUGAAAUGCGUAGAGAUGUGGAGGAACACCAGUGGCGAAGGCGACUCUCUGGUCUGUAACUGACGCUGAGGAGCGAAAGCGUGGGGAGCGAACAGGAUUAGAUACCCUGGUAGUCCACGCCGUAACGAUGAGUGCUAAGUGUUAGGGGUUUCCGCCCCUUAGUGCUGCAGCUAACGCAUUAAGCACUCCGCCUGGGGAGUACGGUCGCAAGACUGAAACUCAAAGGAAUUGACGGGGGCCCGCACAAGCGGUGGAGCAUGUGUUUAAUUCGAAGCAACGCGAAGAACCUUACCAGGUCUUGACAUCCUCUGACAACCCUAGAGAUAGGGC
rnacentral:rRNA from 1 species